CAUGCUAAAGCACGUUUUCAAUGUGCUCCCCAAUGAGAAGGCGACGACGUAUUCGUAUGUCAAUCCAUAUCAACUUUUGAUGCAAUUGACUGCGCCUACCAUGGUAACUACGGGUAACGGGGAAUCAGGGUUCCAUUCCAUACAGGGACCCUGACAAAUGGCUACCACAUGCAAGGAAGGCAG